GUGGAGAGAAGCUUGUGUGGGAGAGAGAGGCUUGGGGAAAGCCGGUGGUGGCAGUUGAGGCUCUGAGGGUUUUUCCUGAGAGACUAUUUUGUUUGUCGUGUGUGGUUCUAAAAAUAAAGUUAGUUUCUUUUGACAAGUGGCUCCUGAUUGUGCCCAGCCAGACUGCGGCAAUAGUCAUUAAGUAUGCCUGCUGUUUUCUUAAGCAAGGCAUUAUCUUUUGAUGUUUUCCAUAAUAUAUUAUUUAAAAACCCCUCUACAACAAAUACAGACUUCUUUUAUGAGGGGUAGAACCAUAGAGACCCGAGGAAAAUUAUAACAGUGUAUUGGAAGUAACCUAUAAAAUUACUAAAAUUUGAGUAUGCACCCUAUCUCCCCUCUUUUGCCCUGGGGAAGAGAUUUUGUUUCAUUUGCCUUUGAUGCUCCCAACACUAAUUAGUUAAAUGUAAUCUGUGAAUGGUGACAAUCUUCACACACAAACACACACACACACACACACACACACACACCCCUACCUUCCCCACUCAAAGCUUCCUUAUUCUCAGGCUACACAUAAACAAGUAGCUAAAUGACAGACUCUGGGAGGCCAAGGCCAGGUCUGUGCUGUAUCCCGGAAUAUUGAACAGUACCUGACACCUAGUAGGACCUCAACAUCUCUCUGUCCAGUGUAUAUAGGACCAGAAAUACCUGACUCCCUGUAGAGCAGUGUGUUCAGUUGGAUGCACCAUUUAAAAGUGAGAUUUCCAAUCCGUGAAACUACAGAAGGCCUGAGGGCUGAUGGCUGGGGAAAAGGUCCUAUGAGAAAGGGUGAGGGUACAGAUGUUUGCAGCUUCACAAAUGUGAUGGUUUGUUAUUGUCCAUCAAAAGUUCCGGUGUGAUACAGUGCAAGUUAGGAGAGCCUUAACCUACUUAGUGCAUCGAACCCCUGGUGGGGACUAACUGGGUGGUAACUGUAGGCAGUAGGGUGUGGCUGGAGGUGGUGGGUCUCUAGGGAUGGCCCCUGGGGUUGCUACUCUGUCCUGGUGAGGGGAGCACUCUCUCAGCUUCCCAGGUGUCCUGUCCUGAGCUGCUUCCCUACUCCACGCCCUUCUGCAGUGAUUUUUUAAUAAUAAUAAUAAUAUUAAAAUAAUAAUUAUUAUUGUUGUUAUUUUGUGUGUGUGCAGUGAUGUUCUCAAUUGUGAAAAGGUGUUUAAAAAUCGACUCAAAUACGCC
rnacentral:lncRNA from 1 species